rnacentral:lncRNA from 1 species
UUACAUACAUAUAUUUCCUGAAUGUGGUCACGUCAGCGCAUACAUAUGUGGAUGCUAAUUCAUAUGUGUGUUCUUUUCCAGCACAGUCACAUGUUUGUGAUAUAUGUAUGUUUACUUAUGUUCAUUUCCAUAUAUGGCCAUAUGUCAAUAUAUAUGCACAUGUUUGCAAUCAUGUAGUUCUCAAGCUCAGUUAUAUAUUGUUUUUUAUACACAUGCUCACUUGUGUGCUGUUCUGGGUUUUUUAUUUUGCCUUUUGUUUGUUUUGUUUGAGACAGUUUCUCCGUGUAGUCCUGGCUAUCCUGAGAACUUUCUCUGUAGACCAGAGGUAGACUUCUGCCACCUUCUGCCUUCUGAAUGCUGGGAAUACAGAUGUAUAUCACCAUGCCUGGCCUGCUGUGUGCAGUUCUGGACGGUGGGAAUAUGCUGGGAUAUUUCUGAGUGUUCAUGUGCAGGCAGUUGUAACUGUGGUUACAUGUUAGUACAUAUUAGCACAUAUGUGGUAUUCACACAUGUACAAUUCCUGAGCAAGGUAACAUGCCAGUGCAUAUGAUUACAUCACUUAUAUAGUUCAUAUAUCUGCAGUUUCCAAGCAUGGCCACAUGGUGGUGCAUUUUUCUCUCAUGACCACAGCUUCUCUUCCCUUCAUUCUUCCCAGUUUAUCCCCUCCCUUCUCCCCCAGAGCUAUCCAUCCAUCUAUCUCCCAUCAUCCCCCACCCCCCACCUCUGUCUGUCCCCCCAAAUGCAGGUCUCUCAGGAACGCCAACAAGAUACAAUAAGACCAGGUUUAAACUUCUCUAGGCACGAACCCUCAUAUCAAGGCCGGGCGGAGGCAACCUAGUAGGAGGAAAAGGGGCCCAAGAGCAGUCCCUUUUCUUGGCAAACUUUUUUUUUCCAAUUGUUCCCACCAAAGUCACAUAUCUUCUUGCCAUUUCUUCAUUGGACCCAUCGACCUCUACCAUCUCGUCUUCCUCUGCUGCCGCUGCUCAGUUCUUAGAGUUCAUUGGAAGCAUUAACGUCUCAACUUCAGGAUUAAACCCUCUGAAUGACAUCCUUCCAUAGAGAAGAUC